AUGGAUGACCAUCGGAAGGUAUGCAGGUUUCUUCCCAAACUUAACGACAAGAUACUAGGUGAAAGAAAUGCUCUCUACAAGGAAAGGUUGGGCAGCCUAGAGAAUUUAGCACUGAUCAUGGUAAGAGGUGAUCGAUGCAGACUACUGCGACCGGUGGGCGUCGUGCUCUUCAACAACUCGGGGGCGGACUUUGUUGUGAAGCCCGGCGACCGCGUCACACAGAUGAUUGUCCAGGUGAUUGCGAUGCCGGAGGUCACCGAGGUGGAGGACCUUGACAUCACCGUCCGGAGGUCGUCGAGGUGGAGGACCUCGACGCACCGUCUCGAGGUUGCCGAGGUGGAGGACCUCGACGCCACCAUCUCGAGGUUGCCGAGUAUCGGCUUUGUUAGCCACAAAAGCCACACCAGAACUGGGCAGAACCGUGGAGCCUUUAUUCCAGACAACAUCGUCUUUAUCGUCGAGAUAUCAUUGCCAAAGCGCCAAAGACACAAACUUGUGAAACUAAGACUUCAACUUGAUCAUUGGUUCCCCUUGUCUUCUGGUGCCAGAGACAACCAUAGAUGA
rnacentral:rRNA from 1 species